rnacentral:rRNA from 1 species
AUUGAACGCUGGCGGCAUGCCUUACACAUGCAAGUCGAACGGUAACAGGUCUUCGGAUGCUGACGAGUGGCGAACGGGUGAGUAAUACAUCGGAACGUGCCCGAUCGUGGGGGAUAACGAAGCGAAAGCUUUGCUAAUACCGCAUACGAUCUACGGAUGAAAGCAGGGGAUCGCAAGACCUUGUGCUACUAGAGCGGCCGAUGGCAGAUUAGGUAGUUGGUGGGAUAAAAGCCGACCAAGCCGACGAUCUGUAGCUGGUCUGAGAGGACGAUCAGCCACACUGGGACUGAGAGACGGCCCAGACGCCUACGGGAGGCAGCAGUGGGGAAUUUUGGACAAUGGGCGCAAGCCUGAUCCAGCAAUGCCGCGUGCAGGAUGAAGGCCUUCGGGUUGUAAACUGCUUUUGUACGGAACGAAAAGCCCCGGGUUAAUACCCUGGGGUCAUGACGGUACCGUAAGAAUAAGCACCGGCUAACUACGUGCCAGCAGCCGCGGUAA